rnacentral:tRNA from 1 species
GGUAAUAUGACUGAUAAAAGUGAUAAAUUGUAAAUUUAUUUAUAAAUUGAAAAAAAUUUUAUUGCCA